GCUGAUCAUUGUCAUUAGUUAAACGUUACGGCACAGCGAGGAUUGUUGAGGGAUUCGGAUGGAUCCCCACCCCUUCGCGGGAUGGGAUGCGGAAAGUUGACAUUGAACUGUGAUUGCGACUCAAACUUAACAACCCAUGCCGACACGGCAGUUUAUCAGGACCCUCUAUGACCCAAUCUAACAUUGUGAGAUGGGCAUUGACAUGUGCGAUAGGUAAGACAUUGUCGUGAUGGCCAGCAAUAAAUGUUAUGUGCUAUCAAAAUACCAAUGGUUGUUUACCAUGAAAGAAAAAGCGGAGCCCAUCACAUGAUACCUUGAAUCGUUUGAAGAUGCUUCCUCAAGGAAGAGAUUUUAGAAAUUUAACGGAAGGUCAACACAUUACAUUGCUUAUAUAUCUUUUUUAAAUAUUUAUUCCAUAUAGAUUUACGAGAUGUAGAUGAAGACAGUAAAUCAUAGUUUUAUAUAUGAUUUAACCUAUUGUCUAGAGUGUUAACGGGUUAGUUGUUUUGUUGUGGCUGUUGUUGUUGUUUUCAAACAUAUCGCUUGCAUAAUACGACUCAACAUCCUAAUGUACCUUAUAGAGUUUACAUUGCGGCGAUCAUAAUGCAAAUACGAUAGUUAAGUCCAUUUUCUGAUGUAUACUGUUAUUGUAUAAAAGGUCCUUAUAGCAAAGAAACAAUGCAACAUAAUAUAGGAAAAACACAGUUUGUUGAAAGUAGAAAAGUACACUCAAAGGGAUCUUUUCACGGUUUGGUAAAUUGACAAAAUAAAAAAAAAGUUAUUUCAGAUUCGCAAAUUUUCGGUUUAGUUAUGAUAUUUGUGAGGAAACAGUAUUACUGAACAUUUGGCAUGGUCUGAUAUAGCCAUUAUAUGCAUCUUUUGACGAUUUAAAAACCUAAAAAUUAUAAAGCGUUGCAACGCGAAACAAUUGAAUAAUUUGGAGAGUUCUGUUGUUGUCGUUUAAAUUUGUGAAGUUACGAAGAUUGCUUAUAUAACGUAUAAAAUACACGUCUUAUGUAUGAUUGGCAAGAUAGCUCAGUUGGCUAAUGCGUUAUUGCUUCAGGAUUCCGGGGGUCACUGGUUCCAGCACGGCUGCGGUCUACUUUUUUCCCUUUUUAAAUUUUAUUUUUUACUGAAGCUUUUAAAAUUUGAUGUCUACAUUUAUCAAUAUAAAGCAUUUAAUGACAAACUUCAAUACAUGCCAAAAUCUGUGAAAAGGCCCCUUUAAUAUGACUUACAAUUGUCAUAGAUUUCUGUCUUUUGAGAUCAGAAACACAAUUAAGUAAAAUAUAAUGUACUCGUUGACAACUAAUUGUUUUAGCCAAUGCUGACUAGUUAACAUGGAUGUAUUGCUAAAUUUCAAGAAAUUGAUUGCGUUGAAAUAAAACGUUUACGGGAUUUUUCGGUACUCCGGAUGUUCACAAGAACACAAUUCAUGUCAAAGCGAAAGCCCAACUAGACCACUUCAAAAGGGAUAUAAUUACGGCUCUCGAAGGUCAUUGAGGCGUUGAAGCCACAGAUCGACAUACAAAGCAAUAAUUAAUGAGCGGAGGUUGGGAAAGCAUUCGCAAUACUUUCUAUACGACCGAAAAAAAAACAUUUAGAAUUGCGCGACAUUAUUUGUUAUAUUAUUUCAUUUAUAAGUAAUUGAUAAUCAGUUGCGAAACGUAUAUGAGAUAGCCAAAUUUUCCUUGCAUGUGUAUUAGAUAUUAGUCAUAUUCUAUUACAUCGUCUAUCUCAGAAUUAUAUUGAUAAAAUAUUGCUUGUGAAUUACACAUUUUUAUAUUCGUUUCGUAGUCAUAUACAUUAAAAUAUUAUCCAUUAAAUAAUUUAAUCUCGUAUUGCCUAUUGGUUAGCGUUGGAUGUAUACUUUAUAUAACUUAGAUAUUUAGUAUGUAUAUGGAUGGUGGCAAGUAUUUUUAUUUUUAGAACGUUUUUUACAUGUGAUUUCUAUUGCACUUUAAAUCGGAAAUUUGAAGUCAUUUUUACACAAUGUGUGUAUAUAUAUUAUACAUGUCAUAGUAUUUCUGUAUGUAAUAUAAUGUAUAUAUCUUUAUAUAUUUGAAUAAUUUGAUAUGGCAAAGUUUAAAAUGUCCAUAUAUAUAUAUAUUGUAAGCUACCUUACAUGUAAGAUACAAUUGCUCAUCUCUAUGCGCUCAAUUGUAAUUUGAGUUUGAGUCCAGCAACAAACUCUAAGCAGGAAGACGGAGACCGUUUAACGUUUUACAUAAUGCAUCUUUAUUCAGACAAGCAUUAAAUAUUAGAGCUAUAUAAUACAAUAAUAUCUCUAAACUGUUAGAGUUGACUUAAAAAGGAUGGACGUUUGGUGAACAGUUGCUCUGCUUUAAGGUUGUCAAUAUCAUAAAUAGUACUGAUAUUUUAUGAAAUACUAUAAACGUUCGUUUUACUUAAACACCGGUAGUUAGUAGUUAAUGUACAAACAAAUUCUGAUUAUUACUUCUCAUUCGUGAAAUGAAAAUGUUUUAUGAAGUAUUACUGUUUGUUUCUUACUUUUUGGAAGGGUUUUCAAUUGAUCGAACAGUGAUGUUUGUUGUUAGCAACUGUUGCCAAAACUGUGCGGAGAACCUCCUUUUAUACCCUUCGGAUGCUGCAGAUUUGGCUGCAGCCAAAGAUUCAGCUGCAGCCAAUCACAAUCCUGCAGCAUCCUGCACCAUGUAUGGAAGUAAUGCGGUUACAUGUAAACAAGAACAUACUUCUAAUAAUAAUAAAUCGACAAUCAUCAUAAAUAUCACAUCUUAAUCAAAGAAGGCAAUAAGUUUGAUGACUUGAAACAAUAGACACCUUUAAAUAUGCAUGUAUAACAAUACAAUAUUAAAUGCUGCAGCAUGAAAUCUUAAGAAAUUCUUACGCAUUCAGCGUCUCAAAUAGUUCCCUGCAAACUAUUAUGUUUUAACAGUUAAUAUAAAUGAAGAGUUUGCAAGUUAUAAUAAAUAUCAUCUUUUUAUACAAAUAGAGGAGUGAAUAUUAUAAUUGUACAGCCUAUUUUAAAGUCAAAUGCAUGCAAUAACACUCCACCAUAUUCCUACGUAUGACGUCAUCAAUAUACAUUGCUGCAACGAUUUUGACAGUGCAGGAAUUUCGAACAUGUUGGAUUAUUCUCACAACAAACAACAUAUAAUGGACUAAACACAAGGUAAAUACAAAUAUAUAAAUAUAUUAAAUCUUGGAGAACAUUAUCUUGCUAAAUGCAGUGCACUGCAUAGACAAUAUGUGAACAACAAAAAUAAUGUGCACCGUUAUUCGGAUGAGGAAUGAAUUCGGAUGAUAUUUACAUGUUAUACAUGAAAUAUACAUUACAU